rnacentral:rRNA from 1 species
AACGUAGGAGACAAACGUUAUCCGGAGUUACUGGGCGUAAAGGGCGUGUAGGUGGCUUCGUAAGUCUGGCGUGAAAUUUUUCGGCUUAACCGGGAAAGGUCGUCGGAUACUGCAGAACUAGAGGACGGUAGAGGCGUGUGGAAUUCCGGGUGUAGUGGUGAAAUGCGUAGAGAUCCGGAGGAACACCAGUGGCGAAGGCGACACGCUGGGCCGUACCUGACACUGAUGCGCGACAGCAUGGGGAGCAAACAGG